rnacentral:rRNA from 1 species
UACAGAGGUGGCAAGCGUCGUUCGGAAUUACUGGGCGUAAAGUGUGCGCAGGUGGCCGCGCAAGUCGAGUGUGAAAUCCCCGAGCUUAACUUGGGAAUUGCGCUCGAAACUACGUGGCUCGAGUGUGGCAGAGGAAGGUGGAAUUCCACGUGUAGCGGUGAAAUGCGUAGAGAUGUGGAGGAACACCGAUGGCGAAGGCAGCCUUCUGGGCCAACACUGACGCUCAUGCACGAAAGCGUGGGGAGCAAACAGG